CACCGGCGGCUCGAGUGGUGGCCACUUUUAUUGGGUCUAAAGCGUCCGUAGCCGGCUUGGCAAGUCCCCUGGGAAAUCUGGCGGCUUAACCGUCAGGCGUCCAGAGGAUACUGCCAGGCUUGGGACCGGGAGAGGUGAGAGGUACCUCAGGGGUAGGGGUGAAAUCUUGUGAUCCCUGAGGGACCACCAGUGGCGAAGGCGUCUCACUAGAACGGGUCCAACGGUCAGGGACGAAAGCUGGGGGCACGAACCGG
rnacentral:rRNA from 1 species